rnacentral:rRNA from 1 species
CACGUAGGGCGCAAGCGUUGUCCGGAAUUAUUGGGCGUAAAGAGCUCGUAGGUGGUUUGUUACGUCCGCUGUGAAAUCCUAGGGCUUAACCCUGGGCUUGCAGUGGAUACGGGCAGACUAGAGGUAGGUAGGGGAGAAUGGAAUUCCUGGUGUAGCGGUGAAAUGCGCAGAUAUCAGGAGGAACACCGGUGGCGAAGGCGGUUCUCUGGGCCGAUACUGACGCUGAGGAGCGAAAGCGUGGGGAGCGAACAGG